ACUUGGUUCAUGAAACAAGUGAAUUAUCAGUUUAUAUUGAUAGGCGAGACCUUGAUGAAUUAAUUUCUGGUGUUAAAUGGAUCUCCACAUCUAUCUUGUCUCUAUGGUGCUCAUAUCUACAUGGCAUUUGUAUCUCUAAGAAUGUCAGUGAACUAUUUGGAUUUCUUGAUCCAAAUAGGACACUAAUUACCACUAGAGAUCCCAAUGCUAUUAAAUCUUACAUACAAGAUAGGUUGGAUGGCGAGUCAAAAAAAUGUUACUUAGGACCAUUGUUAAAUAACAAUCACUGGCAAUUGUAUGUUAUUUGUCCCCAAG